AAAGUUUGAUCCUGUAUCAGAAGAAACGCUAGCUAUAUUCUUAACACAUGCAAGUCGAACGUUGUUUUUGGGGAGUUGGGCAGAAGGAAAAGAGGCUCCUAGCUAAAGGUAGCUUGUCUCGCCCAAGAGGUAAGAAGAGUUGAGAACAAAAUGGCGAACGAGUGCAUAACAAGUGGGAAUCUACCGAACAGUUCGGGCCAAAUCCUGAAGAAAGAUAAAAAGUGUUGUUUGAUGAGCCUACGUAGUAUUAGUUAGUUGGUCUGGUAAGGGCUGACCAAGACAAUGAUGCUUAGCUAGUCUUUUCGGAUGAUCAGCCAUACUGGGACUGAGACACGGCCCAGACUCCCACGGGGGCAGUAGUGGGGAAUCUUGGACAAUAGGAGAAUGCCCGAUCCUGCAAUAUCGCGUGAGUAAAGAAGGGAAAUGCCUCUUGUAAAGCUCUUUCGUCGAGUGUGAGAUUAUGACAGGACUCGAGGGAGAACCCACGGCUAACUCUGUGCCAGUGAUUGGGGGGGGGCAAGUGUUCUUCGGGAUGACUGGGCGUAAAGGGAACGUAGACGGUGAAUCCGGUUGAAAGUGAAAGCCGCCAAAAACUGGGGAAAUGGUCUCGAAACCCAUUCACAUGAGUGACACAAAGGAGAGUGGAAUUUCGUGAGUAGGGGUGAAAUCCGGAGAUCUAAGAAGGAACGCCAAAAGCGAAGGCAUCACUCUAGGUUCCUACCAAUGCUGAGGUGCGAAAGCAUGGGGAGAGGACAGGAUUAGUCUAUGCAGAUAAGGGGCCCUGCUAACGUGUGAAACACUCUGCCUGGGGAGUACAGUCGCAAGACCGAAACUCAAAGGAAUUGACGGGGGCAUGCACAAGCGGUGGAGCAUGUGCUUUAAUUCGAUAACAUGCACAAAACCUUACCAGCCCUUGAUAUAUGAGCAAGAACACAUGUCCUUAACGGGAUGGUACUUACUUUCAUGCAGGUGUUGCAUGGCUGUCGUCAGCUCGUGUCAUGAGAUGUUUGGUCAAGUCCUAUAACGAGCAAAACCCUUAUUUUAUGUUGUUGAUGCAUGCGCCUAAGGAGAAAGUCUUCCCAACCAAAGUGAGCCGAGGAUCCGAGUGACGUGCCAGUGCUACUAAUUGAGUGCCAGCACCUAGCUGUGCUAUCAGUAAGAAGGUAGCCGGCGCCUUUCGAAGCACUUUCCAUUUCUAGAUAGAGAGGGCCUUUCUCCCUUGUUUAGUACAGUCAAGUGUUUGGCCUUAUCUUGCAGGUGACGACGGCAUCGAGUUGACAGCAGAGAAAGACUCGGCAUUCAGGCGAGCCACCCGGUGGUGUGGUAUGUAGUGGGUUUAAUACGCCCCACCCAAACAAACGGCUCUGAAACAAACAAAAAGGUGUAUGUCGCACUCGCGAAGGACUGCCAGUGAUAUACUGGAGGAAGGUGGGGAUGACGUCAAGUCCGUAUGGCCCUUAUGGGCUGGGCCACACACGUGCUACAAUGGCAAUUACAAUGGGAAGCAAGGCUGUAAGGCGGAGCGAAUCCGGAAAGAUUGCCUCAGUUCGGAUUGUUCUCUGCAACUCGGGAACAUGAAGUUGGAAUCGCUAGUAAUCGCGGAUCAGCAUGCCGCGGUGAAUAUGUACCCGGGCCCUGUACACACCGCCCGUCACACCCUGGGAAUUGGUUUCGCCCGAAGCAUCGGACCAAUGAUCACCCAUGACUUCUGUGGCACACUAGUGCCACAAAGGCCUUUGGUGGUCUUAUUGGCGCAUACCACGGUGGGGUCUUCGACUGGGGUGAAGUCGUAACAAGGUAGCCGUAGGGGAACCUGUGGCUG
rnacentral:rRNA from 1 species